AUAUUUUAAAGUAAAUAAUCUUCCUUGAUACCUUCAAUAUCAUGCUCUAAAUAAGCUAUUAAAA
rnacentral:tRNA from 1 species